UGAAGAAAUAUGAAAGACAUGAAGUGCUGGAAGUGAAGUGAGAAGUGAAAUGAGAAGUGAAGUGAGAAGUGAAAUGAGAAGUGAAGUGAGAAGUGAAAUGAGAAGUGAAGUGAGAAGUGAAAUGAGAAGUGAAGUGAGAGGUGAGGUGAGAGGUGUGUUACAGCGGCUAUGGUAGAGUUACGAAGAUCAAGGAAACAUUCCUGACUGAGAAAGAAUGCGUCUACUGAUUGUUUCUGAUCUUAAAAUAUUUUAGUAAUCAUUUAAGAAUUUAGUAGCAUUUGUUGCUUCAUAUUUUUGUGAAGAAGUUUUCUCAAUUUAAUUUACAUUUAUUUUUUUUCCUGUUCGUUUUUCAUUAUUGUUUUUAUUUAUCUUGAACCAAAUGGAGUGAUGAACAUGAACAGGUAGUGGGUAUCUCGUUCGUCAACAGGUAGUGGGUAUCUCGUUCGUCAACAGGUAGUGGGUAUCUCGGUCGUCAACAGGUAGUGGGUAUCUCGGUCGUCAACAGGUAGUGGGUAUCUCGGUCGUCAACAGGUAGUGGGUAUCUCGGUCGUCAACAGGUAGUGGGUAUCUCGGUCGUCAACAGGUAGUGGGCAUCAUGGUCGUCAACAGGUAGUUGGCAUCACGGUCGUCAACAGGUAGUGGCCAUCAUGGUCGUCAACAGGUAGUGGGCAUCAUGGUCGUCAACAGGUAGUGGGCAUCAUGGUCGUCAACGGGUAGUAGGCAUCACGGUCGUCAACAGGUAGUGGCCAUCAUGGUCGUCAACAGGUAGUGGCCAUCAUGGUCGUCAACAGGUAGUGGGCAUCAUGGUCGUCAACAGGUAGUAGGCAUCACGGUCGUCAACAGGUAGUAGGCAUCACGGUCGUCAACAGGUAGUGGGCAUCACGGUCGUCAACAGGUAGUAGGCAUCACGGUCGUCAACAGGUAGUGGGCAUCACGGUCGUCACAGGUAGUAGGCAUCACGGUCGUCAACAGGUAGUGGGCAUCACGGUCGUCAACAGGUAGUAGGCAUCACGGUCGUCAACAGGUAGUAGGCAUCACGGUCGUCAACAGGUAGUAGGCAUCACGGUCGUCAACAGGUAGUAGGCAUCACGGUCGUCAACGGGUAGUAGGCAUCACGGUCGUCAACGGGUAGUAGGCAUCACGGUCGUCAACAGGUAGUAGGCAUCACGGUCGUCAACAGGUAGUAGGCAUCACGGUCGUCAACGGGUAGUAGGCAUCACGGUCGUCAACAGGUAGUAGGCAUCACGGUCGUCAACAGGUAGUAGGCAUCACGGUCGUCAACGGGUAGUAGGCUUCACGGUCGUCAACGGGUAGUAGGCUUCACGGUCGUCAACAGGUAGUAGGCUUCACGGUCGUCAACAGGUAGUAGGCUUCACGGUCGUCAACGGGUAGUAGGCUUCACGGUCGUCAACAGGUAGUAGGCAUCACGGUCGUCAACAGGUAGUAGGCUUCACGGUCGUCAACAGGUAGUAGGCUUCACGGUCGUCAACAGGUAGUAGGCUUCACGGUCAACAGGUAGUAGGCUUCACGGUCGUCAACGGGUAGUAGGCUUCACGGUCGUCAACAGGUAGUAGGCUUCACGGUCGUCAACAGGUAGUAGGCAUCACGGUCGUCAACAGGU